GCUUCCGUAGCUCAGUUGGUUAGAGCUUCGUACUAAUACUUGCACCACAAGUCUUUGGUAAUGCGAAGGUCGCAGGUUCAAGCCCUGCCGGGAGCA
rnacentral:tRNA from 2 species